rnacentral:misc_RNA from 1 species
AGCAGCCGCGGUAAUUCCAGCUCCAAUAGCGUAUAUUAAAGUUGUUGCAGUUAAAAAGCUCGUAGUUGAAUUUCGGGAUCAAUAUGUUGGUCGUGCCUCGGUACGUACUAGCAUAUUGGUUUCUCCUUUCUGAAGAACCAUGAUGUCAUUUAUUUGGUGUCGUGGGGAAUCAGGACUGUUACUUUGAAAAAAUUAGAGUGUUUAAAGCAGGCUCACGCUUGAAUACAUUAGCAUGGAAUAAUGAAAUAGGACGUUUGAUUCUAUUUUGUUGGUUCCUAGGAUCGACGUAAUGAUUAAUAGGGAUAGUUGGGGGCAUUAGUAUUCAAUUGUCAGAGGUGAAAUUCUUGGAUUUAUUGAAGACUAACUACUGCGAAAGCAUUUGCCAAGGAUGUUUUCAUUAAUCAAGAACGAAAGUUAGGGGAUCGAAGACGAUCAGAUACCGUCGUAGUCUUAACCAUAAACUAUGCCGACUAGGGAUCGGAUGAUGUUAAUUUUUAAUGACUCAUUCGCGUCCG